GACGAACGCUGGCGGCGUGCUUAACACAUGCAAGUCGAACGGAAAGGCCCUGCUUUUGUGGGGUGCUCGAGUGGCGAACGGGUGAGUAACACGUGAGUAACCUGCCCUUGACUUUGGGAUAACUUCAGGAAACUGGGGCUAAUACCGGAUAGGAGCUCCUGUUGCAUGGUGGGGGUUGGAAAGUUUCGGCGGUUGGGGAUGGACUCGCGGCUUAUCAGCUUGUUGGUGGGGUAGUGGCUUACCAAGGCUUUGACGGGUAGCCGGCCUGAGAGGGUGACCGGCCACAUUGGGACUGAGAUACGGCCCAGACUCCUACGGGAGGCAGCAGUGGGGAAUAUUGCACAAUGGGCGGAAGCCUGAUGCAGCAACGCCGCGUGCGGGAUGACGGCCUUCGGGUUGUAAACCGCUUUCGCCUGUGACGAAGCGUGAGUGACGGUAGUGGGUAAAGAAGCACCGGCUAACUACGUG
rnacentral:rRNA from 1 species